rnacentral:rRNA from 1 species
UACGGGGGGAGCAAGCGUUGUUCGGAUUUACUGGGCGUAAAGGGCGCGUAGGCGGCGUGCUAAGUCGAACGUGAAAUCCCCGGGCUCAACCCGGGAACUGCGUCCGAGACUGGCAGGCUUGAAUCCGGGAGAGGGAUGUGGAAUUCCAGGUGUAGCGGUGAAAUGCGUAGAUAUCUGGAGGAACAUCGGUGGCGAAGGCGGCAUCCUGGACCGGUAUUGACGCUGAGGCGCGAAAGCCAGGGGAGCAAACGGG